AAGGGCUACGCGUAUAAAUACAAAGCAUGAAGCAACAGUGAAACAUACUUACCUGGACGGGGUCCAUGGGCGAUCAGGAAGGUUCAUGGCCUAGGUCAGCGAUGUCCAUUGCACAUAGGAUGGGUGCUGGCUUAAGGUCUCCCCAAGAGGGAGAGCCUACGUCAUAAUUUGUGGUAGAGGGGGCUGCGCAAGUCGCGGCCCUUGU